AGCACUCAGCAGCAUCCGGGAGAGAGGAGGCAGGGCCUCUGGUGGGAGCCGCCUCAGCCGGCCCUCGGACUGAGAAAUCAGGCUGCACCUCGUCAUCUUCUCAAGUCUUCUGCUUCAUACCUUGUUCUUGUUUACAUGGACUGUUUCCUCAUGGCCUUACCUCAACUGCAGACUGCAAUGUUGGCAGCGUUUUUGUGGGACCCUCGUGAUGUGCUCACAGCGCAGCCUGGGGCCGAACAGUGCGCUGAGAGUUAGCAACAUAUAAGAAUCCUGCAGCCGCAGUUCAGGCUUAUCAGAUUCCGUUUCUGGAAGCUGUACAUCCAGAGAAGGGUGCAGGCCUGGCAGUUCUUAUGGAGCUUCAGGCUGCCCGGGGAGGCGCAGAAGAUUGAUCGCAUGAUGGAGGCUUUCGCUUCUCGCUACUGCCUGUGCAACCCCGGGGUCUUCCAGUCCACAGACACGUGCUACGUGCUGUCAUUCGCCAUCAUCAUGCUCAACACCAGCCUCCACAACCACAACGUGCGCGACAAACCCACGGCAGAACGGUUCAUCGCCAUGAACCGCGGCAUCAACGAGGGCGGGGA
rnacentral:sRNA from 1 species